rnacentral:rRNA from 1 species
GACGGAGGAUGCAAGUGUUAUCCGGAAUCACUGGGCGUAAAGGGUGCGUAGGUGGCCGGUUAAGUCUGACGUGAAAUCUCCGAGCCUAACUCGGAAACUGCGUCGGAAACUAUCCGGCUCGAGGGUUGGAGGGGGGACUGGAAUACUUGGUGUAGCAGUGAAAUGCGUAGAUAUCAAGUGGAACACCAGUGGCGAAGGCGAGUCCCUGGACAACUCCUGACACUGAGGCACGAAAGCUAGGGGAGCAAACAGG